rnacentral:rRNA from 1 species
AGUGAACGCUGGCGGUAGGCCUAACACAUGCAAGUCGAACGGCAGCACAGUAAGAGCUUGCUCUUACGGGUGGCGAGUGGCGGACGGGUGAGGAAUACAUCGGAAUCUACUUUUUCGUGGGGGAUAACGUAGGGAAACUUACGCUAAUACCGCAUACGACCUACGGGUGAAAGCAGGGGAUCUUCGGACCUUGCGCGAUUGAAUGAGCCGAUGUCGGAUUAGCUAGUUGGCGGGGUAAAGGCCCACCAAGGCGACGAUCCGUAGCUGGUCUGAGAGGAUGAUCAGCCACACUGGAACUGAGACACGGUCCAGACUCCUACGGGAGGCAGCAGUGGGGAAUAUUGGACAAUGGGCGCAAGCCUGAUCCAGCCAUACCGCGUGGGUGAAGAAGGCUUUCGGGUUGUAAAGCCCUUUUGUUGGGAAGGAAAAGCAGCAGGUUAAUACCCCGCUGUUCUGACGGUACCCAAAGAAUAAGCACCGGCUAACUUCGU